AAUUUCAUCGUACGUUAUGAGGUCAGCAUCACGGAUGCUGCGCCUCAAAUGAAGCCUAAAAAGCAAAAAUCCUAAAACUGGGACCUCAUAAAUAAAUCAAGAGAUCACGACUCCAUGUCGCCGUUGAUGCUCCCACCAGUGACGCGGCACUCUCGCCGGCGACGACUGAUGGCGGCCACUUUCUUGGCCUAAAGCGCACGCGGCGCCGCUCCCCAAACUCCUGCUCCAUCGCCGGAGAGAGAGAGAGAGAGAGAGGGGUACCUGUUGCGGAGAAGGAUCCGGCGCCUGAAAAAUGGAAAGAGCCUUUCGCGGCGGUGGCCUUUCGUAGGAAAGAAGACCGCCAAACAUUCCGGCGAAAACCAGUGUAAAUAUGGGGACAAGAAAUUGUCUUCCCAUGGCGAAAGUGGCUGAGAUUUUGAGAAGUUAAGGGCGAAGAAGAUUGUGUAUGACUAAGUUCGAUGAAACAACAAUACUAUAUAAGGUGUGUUUUUUUGGUUAGGUAAUUCAUAAUUGACUCUUUUGUCCUUGCUUGUAUCCGGCAAGCAACGGUAUACAAGCAGAGUGGGGGGGACUGUUUUAGCUGUUGUCCUCAAAUCAAGUCGGUUUAUCUCUCC